CGGAGCCACGGGAGGUGUCAACGUUUGCCGGAGGAGGCAGCGGUGGCGCACCAAAUUGGGGAAUUAAUUGUCGAGCUGGAAUCUCGCCGGAAUAGGUUUAAAUUGUGGAGCCUGCACACUUGCAGUCUUAUGCGUUCGCCGUUUUUGCGUACCAUUGCGAAAGUCUAAUUGGUCUUAGUUUUUGGAGGCCCAGUAAUAAAAUAAACAAGAUGUUGCCUGACCUGCUGAGUUCCUCCAGCAUUUGGUGUGUUUUGCUUUGGAUUUCCAGCAUCUGCAGAUUUUCUCAUGUUUGUCAUAAACUACAAAAGGAGACUUGCAGGACUCAGCAGAACGGAGGUGGCAUUUGUUGUGGACUGUUGAAUUAUUCUGUGAAGAGCAUCCUAACUG